rnacentral:rRNA from 1 species
UACGUAGGGUGCGAGCGUUGUCCGGAAUUAUUGGGCGUAAAGAGCUCGUAGGCGGUUUGUCACGUCUGCCGUGAAAACCUGCAGCUUAACUGUGGGCGUGCGGUCGAUACGGGCAUCACUGGAGUUCGGCAGGGGAGACUGGAAUUCUUGGUGUAGCGGUGAAAUGCGUAGAUAUCAGGAGGAACACCGGUGGCGAAGGCGGGUCUCUGGGCCGAUACUGACGCUGAGGAGCGAAAGCGUGGGGAGCGAACAGG